rnacentral:lncRNA from 1 species
CAUCAACCGGGGCAGUCUCCACGACAAGGACCGCCAUGCGAGGACUCCCCUCAUAGGUCGAGCCCUCCCGUGCCGCCUCCACGUGUUCCUAUCCUGCCUACACAAGGGUCAAGGUGGAGGCGCCGGUGGUGUCGCCCUCGUCCUCUGUUGUGUGCUAGGGAGGAGCUUCUUGCCGGGGGCUGGGCGGGAGUCGAGGUCCACGAUCUCC